rnacentral:rRNA from 1 species
AUGCAGUCGAACGAUGAAGCCCAGCUUGCUGGGUGGAUUAGUGGCGAACGGGUGAGUAACACGUGAGUAACCUGCCCUUAACUCUGGGAUAAGCCUGGGAAACUGGGUCUAAUACCGGAUAGGAGCGCCUACCGCAUGGUGGGUGUUGGAAAGAUUUAUCGGUUUUGGAUGGACUCGCGGCCUAUCAGCUUGUUGGUGAGGUAAUGGCUCACCAAGGCGACGACGGGUAGCCGGCCUGAGAGGGUGACCGGCCACACUGGGACUGAGACACGGCCCAGACUCCUACGGGAGGCAGCAGUGGGGAAUAUUGCACAAUGGGCGCAAGCCUGAUGCAGCGACGCCGCGUGAGGGAUGACGGCCUUCGGGUUGUAAACCUCUUUCAGUAGGGAAGAAGCGAAAGUGACGGUACCUGCAGAAGAAGCACCGGCUAACUACGUGCCAGCAGCCGCGGUAAUACGUAGGGUGCGAGCGUUAUCCGGAAUUAUUGGGCGUAAAGAGCUCGUAGGCGGUUUGUCGCGUCUGUCGUGAAAGUCCGGGGCUUAACCCCGGAUCUGCGGUGGGUACGGGCAGACUAGAGUGCAGUAGGGGAGACUGGAAUUCCUGGUGUAGCGGUGGAAUGCGCAGAUAUCAGGAGGAACACCGAUGGCGAAGGCAGGUCUCUGGGCUGUAACUGACGCUGAGGAGCGAAAGCAUGGGGAGCGAACAGGAUUAGAUACCCUGGUAGUCCAUGCCGUAAACGUUGGGCACUAGGUGUGGGGACCAUUCCACGGUUUCCGCGCCGCAGCUAACGCAUUAAGUGCCCCGCCUGGGGAGUACGGCCGCAAGGCUAAAACUCAAAGGAAUUGACGGGGGCCCGCACAAGCGGCGGAGCAUGCGGAUUAAUUCGAUGCAACGCGAAGAACCUUACCAAGGCUUGACAUGUUCUCGAUCGCCGUAGAGAUACGGUUUCCCCUUUGGGGCGGGUUCACAGGUGGUGCAUGGUUGUCGUCAGCUCGUGUCGUGAGAUGUUGGGUUAAGUCCCGCAACGAGCGCAACCCUCGUUCCAUGUUGCCAGCACGUCAUGG